ACCUGGUAGUGAAACAACCUCAAGAAGGCCAGGACCUAGAAGUACGGAAAGCACAGUUCGAACGACGCCAGAAACAGAGACCACUCAGCAUGGAAGCAGCUCUACGACUGAAACAAGUCCUUGGCCAUCGACACCAGUGACG